GCGGUUUAAUUGGAUUCAACGCCGGACAUCUCACCGGGGGCGACGGCAGAAUGAAGGCCAAGUUGACGACUUUGCCGGACUCGCCGAGAGGUGGUGCAUGGCCGCCGUCAGCUCGUAUCGUGAGACGUCCUGUCAAGUCAGGUAACGAGCGAGACCCUCGCCCUUAGUUACCAUCGGAUUCCGCAAGGGAUGCCGGGAACUCUAAGGGGACCGCUAUCGAUAAGACAGAGGAGGGAGAGGGCGACGGUAGGUCCGUAUGCCCCGAAUCCCCCGGGCAACACGUGGGCUACAAUGCGUAGGGCAGAGGGCUGCGACCCCGAAAGGGGGAGCUAAUCCCUAAACCUGCGCCUAGUUCGGAUCGAGGGCUGCAACCCGCCCUCGUGAAGCUGGAAUCCCUAGUAAUCGUGUGUCAUUAUCGCGCGGUGAAUGCGUCCCUGCUCCUUGCACACUCCA
rnacentral:rRNA from 1 species